ensembl:lncRNA
GCUGGGCUGGGCUUUGUGCCCUGCCAAAGUGCUGCUCCAAAUGUCUAUUUGUGAACUGAGAGUUAAGUCCCGAUGUAGAUGGGGAUUGCUCUCUGCUCCCAGGUAACAGCCAUAGGGUGAGAGGUGACGGCCUCAAGCUGUGCCAGGGCAGGGUCAGGUUGGAUGCUAGGAAAGAAUUCUUCUCACACAGAGCAGUGAGGCACUGCACGGCCGCACAGGGAGGUGGGGGAUCACCGUCCCUGGAGGUGUUCAGAGCCGUGGAGAUGUGGCGCUGAGGGAUGUGGGCAGUGGGCACGGUGGGGUGGGCUGGGGAUCUGAGGGGUCUUUUCCAACCUUAACGAUUCUGUGAUCUCCCCUGCACCUCUUCCCCACAGGCUGUAAGGAAGAAAGAACAAGGGAAGGGGAAACAUAAAGAAACAUCUUAAGAGGGGAAAGGAAAAGUACAGCAGCAAGGAACUGUGCAGGAGAGCAGCAGGAGGGCGGGCUGUGGCUGCAUCUGCCGGCUGCCUGCCACGUGGCUGCAGGAAAGUCGUGGCCUUUCUCCACCUCGCUUUUCCAGUCUGUGGAAUUAUUUAGAUAACAGUAUUUGCAAACUAAAGAACAAAAGUACUAUAUAUAAAACAAGCCUACUUAAGCCCAAGUGGCUUCUGUUUGCUGUAUUUAGAAAAGGGCCCAGUUCUCUCUGUGUCUUUCAUAAACAAAACACAGCCAAUCAUCUCCAGCCAAAAUUAAAGACUUGUUUUCUCUGACAACAGCUCUGACAUGUCUAAAGCCCCACAGCGACCCUAAGGUGUAAAGUAACCUGUCAGUCCUUGUAGUGUUACACCACUGAAGGGCACAGCAAAGGAGAUAACAGCCUUCAGAUACUACAGAGAGCCCAGAAUUGCCCCAUAGCAACAAGCAGGUGGUGAGCGAGCCUGAGUAGCUGGGACUGCUGCCACAUCUGUUAGAAAAUGACCUCAUGGGCUGACAUCACCUGAGAUUUCCAGGCCAGCCUUGGUCCCUUUGAGAUCUGGGGACAGCUUUGCAUGGCCUGCCAGCACCCUGGGAUUGCUGACAUGGGUGGACACAGCAAGCAGAAGUAAACCCACCUCUCCUGACCACCCUCCCCCCGUGCUGCACCGAGCCCAGGAGCUGCCGCACCUUUGCCAGCUCGCUCAGCUCCACAUAUAGCCCUACAGAGGUGGCAAUGUCCAGCUGUGCACAUCUGUGCCUUGGCACAGGGAGGACACGCACAGCCUCCUCUUCCUAAGACAGGCUGGGAAUUCCUUGGAACUGCUGGGGCACCGAUCCAGCCAAGACCAGCACCGUUUGCACUGACACAGCCUCCAAAAAGCUGCAAAUACACCUUGCUUUGCUGGAGUGACAGGCUGGGGAAGGGAGCAGGAAAUAAGGGGAAUGCCCGAAGGCAGACAGAAGUGAGUACGUGCUUAAUCAGCUUAGACUAAAUAAAUCAAUAGGCUCUAAAACAAAGGGGUCCCCAUGCAGAAGACAAACCUGCUGGAAGGACUGAAUGUGUAACCAGCACACGAGCAGCUCUCUGUAAGGUAUAAUGUGAACCAACCUGAAGCAGCCCCAGACGGAUGCACCAUCUGCUCACAGCGCCUCACAAGGACGCCGUGCUCGGUGCUAUCAAAACCAGCAGACACUCCAAGGAGC